GGGAUUGAGGCUCAGUGGUAGAGCACUCACCUAGCAUGUGUGAGGCCCUGGGUUCGAUCCUCAGCACCA
rnacentral:tRNA from 1 species